CUGGCUCUCAGUGCAGUGGAUGCACUCAGGAAAGACAGAUGAUGAACCAGAUAUAUUCAGAAUCACACUGGCCAGGCCCAUUCCUGGAUAUAACAUAGUUUCAAAAAGAAACCAAGAAAGAGAGAUUGGGAAGAUGGAGUGAAUUACUGUCUUGUGUGAACAUGAAUAGCAGGCUAUAGUCUCUCCAGAAUACUUUCUUGAGGGAAUACAUACAUGAAGUCAUCGACAAUUUGGGAAAGAAGAUUUGUUUAUCACUUGUUCUUAACGUGGUAUGGAUUCUGUUUCUUUUAUUGCAGAAUUAUUCCAGCUAUAUUCCUCUGUUACUGAAUAGCAAAUGUUCUGUAAUAUAUGUAUCUGUUCUGGACGUGUUUUUCCUUUAGCUUCUACCUGCUGCCUCAUUCUGCUUGAUAGCGCGUUAUGUCUAGUCUGACACAGAACAAAUGAUCAGACAGAACUUUGCCUCAGUAGAGAAUCUGAAAGGAAAAAAUCUGUUUGUGUCAGAAAAGAUUACAUUCCGAAGUGUUCCCUUAAAACAUAUAUAUUUUGAAGAUAAGUUGAAAAGAAACAUAUGCAACUUCUGUGUUAAUUGUUUGCAUACUUCUAAAUGCAAAUGAUUUCAGAUGUUUAACCCAGCUUCCUCACUCUAAUCUGAAGUAAUUUUUACUUACUUUUCUAGUGACAUUUGGUAAAUUCAUGGUGUUGUUUGUGUCUGUUACUAAAACAAUCAGAAAAAUGGUAAAGAAUCACCCUCAAAAAGAUCAUUCUUUAACAAAGUCUUGUAUCCAACAACAAAAAUAAAAAUGAAAGGGGAAAAUCUGUACCAUAGUGAUAUAUUUUUACCCAAU
ensembl:lncRNA